CAAGCAACAGCACUCGCUUUGGAAACACUGGAAUAAUACAGAGAAGAUUAACAUGGCCCCUGUGCAAGGAUGACAUGCAAAUUUGUGAAGCAUUCCAUAUUUUU
ensembl:snRNA U6 U6 spliceosomal RNA